UGGGGAAUAUUGGGCAAUGGGGGAAACCCUGACCCAGCGACGUCGCGUGAGGGAAGAAGGUCUUCGGAUUGUAAACCUUUGUCAACAGGGACGAACAAAAUGACGUUACCUGUGGAGGAAGCCACGGCUAACUACGUGCCAGCAGCCGCGGUAAUACGUAGGUGGCGAGCGUUAUCCGGAUUUACUGGGUGUAAAGGGUGCGUAGGCGGGUAUGCAAGUCAGAUGUGAAAUCCUUUGGCUUAACCAAAGAAUUGCAUUUGAAACUGCAUAUCUUGAGAGUGGGAGAGGUAAGCGGAAUUCCCGGUGUAGCGGUGAAAUGCGUAGAGAUCGGGAGGAACAUCAGUGGCGAAGGCGGCUUACUGGACCAUUACUGACGCUGAGGCACGAAAGCGUGGGGAGCAAACAGG
rnacentral:rRNA from 1 species